AGAGUUUGAUCCUGGCUCAGGAUGAACGCUGGCGGCGUGCCUAAUACAUGCAAGUCGAACGAAACUUCUUUAUCACCGAGUGCUUGCACUCACCGAUAAAGAGUUGAGUGGCGAACGGGUGAGUAACACGUGGGCAACCUGCCCAAAAGAGGGGGAUAACACUUGGAAACAGGUGCUAAUACCGCAUAACCAUAGUUACCGCAUGGUAACUAUGUAAAAGGUGGCUAUGCUACCGCUUUUGGAUGGGCCCGCGACGCAUUAGCUAGUUGGUGGGGUAAAGGCUUACCAAGGCAAUGAUGCGUAGCCGAACUGAGAGGUUGAUCGGCCACAUUGGGACUGAGACACGGCCCAAACUCCUACGGGAGGCAGCAGUAGGGAAUCUUCCACAAUGGGCGAAAGCCUGAUGGAGCAACGCCGCGUGGGUGAAGAAGGUCUUCGGAUCGUAAAACCCUGUUGUUAGAGAAGAAAGUGCGUGAGAGUAACUGUUCACGUUUCGACGGUAUCUAACCAGAAAGCCACGGCUAACUACGUGCCAGCAGCCGCGGUAAUACGUAGGUGGCAAGCGUUAUCCGGAUUUAUUGGGCGUAAAGGGAACGCAGGCGGUCUUUUAAGUCUGAUGUGAAAGCCUUCGGCUUAACCGGAGUAGUGCAUUGGAAACUGGGAGACUUGAGUGCAGAAGAGGAGAGUGGAACUCCAUGUGUAGCGGUGAAAUGCGUAGAUAUAUGGAAGAACACCAGUGGCGAAAGCGGCUCUCUGGUCUGUAACUGACGCUGAGGUUCGAAAGCGUGGGUAGCAAACAGAAUUAGAUACCCUGGUAGUCCACGCCGUAAACGAUGAAUGAAAAGUGUUGGAGGGGUUCCCCCCCUUCCAUGCUGCAGCUAACGC
rnacentral:rRNA from 1 species